UGGGGAAUAUUGCGCAAUGGGGGCAACCCUGACGCAGCCAUGCCGCGUGAAUGAAGAAGGCCUUCGGGUUGUAAAGUUCUUUCGGUGACGAGGAAGGCGUGAUGUUUAAUAGGCAUCACGAUUGACGUUAAUCACAGAAGAAGCACCGGCUAACUCCGUGCCAGCAGCCGCGGUAAUACGGAGGGUGCGAGCGUUAAUCGGAAUAACUGGGCGUAAAGGGCACGCAGGCGGACUUUUAAGUGAGGUGUGAAAUCCCCGGGCUUAACCUGGGAAUUGCAUUUCAGACUGGGGGUCUAGAGUACUUUAGGGAGGGGUAGAAUUCCACGUGUAGCGGUGAAAUGCGUAGAGAUGUGGAGGAAUACCGAAGGCGAAGGCAGCCCCUUGGGAAUGUACUGACGCUCAUGUGCGAAAGCGUGGGGAGCAAACAGGAUUAGAUACCCUGGUAGUCCACGCUGUAAACGCUGUCGAUUUGGGGAUUGGGCCUUGAGCUUGGUGCCCGAAGCUAACGUGAUAAAUCGACCGCCUGGGAGUACGGCCGCAAGGUUA
rnacentral:rRNA from 1 species